UAUUGUUCUUGGCAUGUUGUUGAAGUGACCUCAGUGCAUAGUUCCAUCUGCACAAUCCUUGAUCUUUCAGUGACUCUACUACUCCUAUACUUGCUGCUACCGUCCAAGCUCUGCUUGUAGAACUCAUUUUUAUCUUGUAAACUAUGGACUGGAACAGAGAACUGAAACUGGUUUGAUGUGAAAUGUUUAGUAGCUAGGAAAAGAGACUGAUAUCUUGCCUUGCGGUUCUGGUGUGGCAUAUGGGAAGAGUUCUCAUACAAUAUAUAUAUAUAGGGAAAAGGUA
rnacentral:misc_RNA from 1 species